rnacentral:lncRNA from 1 species
GAACCCCAGGGAUGAGUCAUGAGAUCAUCACUUUAGUUGCAGAUAUUGCUUCCUCCUCUGCUCCUGGACCUCCCGCAAAGCAUGUGGCCUUGGGAGUGGUAAGAGUUCUGGACAACAUCUAGAUGAAGAGUUCCCCCCAAAAAGGGCUUAAGUAAAGGAAAUUUCUCGAGUCAGUUGUCAAAAUGCGCGGAGGGGGGGCAGUGACUCAUCAGAGAUGCAGCUGUCCUCCACACAGCCUUCUAAAAAGGGUCAAAGUGUCCACACUUUUUGUUCUUCAUUCUUCUUGAGUUUCAUGUGUUUUGCAAAUUGUAUCUUAUAUCUUGGGUAUUCUAAGUUUCUGGGCUAAUAUCCACUUAUCAGUGAGUAAAUACUGUGUGAGUUCUCUUGUGAUUGGGUUUCCUCACUCAGGAUGAUGCCUUCCAGGUCCAUCCAUUUGCCUAGGAAUUUCAUAAAUUCAUUCUUUUAAUAGCUGAGUAGUACUCCACUGUGUAAAUGUAUCCAUUCUUCUGUUGAGGGGCAUCUGGGUUCUUUCCAGCUUCUGGCUUUUAUAAAUAAGGCUGCUAUGAACAUAGUGGAGCAUGAGUCCUUCUUACCUGUGGGAACAUCUUCUGGAUAUAUGUCCAGGAGAGGUAUUGCGGGAUCCUCCGGUAGUACUAUGUCCAAUUUUCUGAGGAACCGCCAGACUGAUUUCCAGAGUGGUUGUACAAGCUUGCAAUCCUACCAAAAGUGGAGGAGUGUUCCUCUUUCUCCACAUCCUUGCCAUCAUCUGCUGUCACCUGAAUUUUCGAUCUUAGCCAUUCUGACUGGUGUGUGGUGGAAUCUCAGGGUUGUUUUGAUUUGCAUUUCCCUGAUGAUUAAGGAUGUUGAACAUUUUUUCAGGUCCUUCUCAGCAAUUCAGUAUUCCUCGGGUGAGAAUUCUUUGUUUAGCUCUGAGCGCCAUUUUUUAAUGGGGUUAUUUGUUUUUCUGGAGUUCACCUUCUUUAGUUCUUCAUAUAUAUUGGAUAUUAGUCCCCUAUCUGAUUUAGAAUAGGUAAAGAUCCUUUCCCAAUCUGUUGGUGGCCUUUUUGUCUUAUUGACAGUGUCUUUUGCCUUGCAGAAGCUUUGCAAUUUUAUGAGAUCCCAUUAGUCCAUCUUAUAGCACAAGCCAUUGCUGUUCUCUUCAGGAAUUUUCCCCCUGUACCCAUAUCUUUGGGGCUUUUCCCUACUUUCUCCUCUAUAAGGUCCAGUGUCUCUGGUUUUAUGUGGAGUUCCUUAAUUCACUUAGAUUUGACCUUAGUACAAGGAGAUAGGAAUGGAUCAAUUUGCAUUCUUCUACAUAGUAAUUGCCAGUUGUGCCAUCACCAUUUGUUGAAAAUGCUGUCUUUUUUCCACUGGAUGGUUUUUGCUCCCUUGUCAAAGACCAAGUGACGAUAGGUGUGUGGGUUCAUUUCUGGGUCUUCAAUUCUAUUCCAUUGGUCUACUUGUCUGUCACUAUACCAGUACCAUGCAGUUUUUAUCACAAUUGCUCUGUAGUACAGCUUUAGGUCAGGCAUGGUGAUUCCACCGGAGGUUCUUUUAUCCUUGAGCAGAGUUUUUGCUAUCCUAGGUUUUUUGUUAUUCCAGAUGAAUUUGCAGAUUGCCCUUUCUAAUUCAUUAAAGAAUUGUGUUGGAAUUUUGAUGGGGAUUGCAUUGAACCUGUAGAUUGCUUUUUAGCAAGAUAGCCAUUUUUACUAUAUUGAUCCUGCCAAUCCAUGAGCAUGGUAGAUCUUUCCAUCUUCUGAGAUCUUUAAUUUCUUUCUUCAGAGACUUGAAGUUCUUAUCAUACAGAUCUUUCACUUCCUUAGUUAGAGUCAUGCCAAGGUAUUUUAUAUUAUUUGUGACUAUUGAGAAGGGUGUUGUUUCCCUAAUUACUUUCUCAGCCUGUGUAUCCUUUGAGUUUUUUUUUUCAGACUAGUGUUAUUAAAGGUAAAUGAGUUUUUAAUUUUAUAUAUUCUAGAUCAUGUUCUUGGUUUGUAAAUUAUUGUUACGGGAAAAUUUGUUCAUGUUUGAGAUGUAAGUUGAUGAUGAAACCAAUAUUGAUCAUUUUCAAAGAUGCAAUUUGAAGGGGUUUUAUUUUCAGUGCAAACAUAGGUAAAAUAUCAAGAUUACUAGGGCCUCCGUGAGCAAGCAACCAAAGAUAAAGUUUAACACUCAGCAAUUCCUGCAUACAAUAACUCUUAAGAAAAAAUAUUGUCCUGUCAUUGGGAUAUAAGGUUCUAGAUAUAUAUUAUCUUACAAUGUUGGUGGAAAGUCUGAUAAAUUGACAUUAUUUCUCUCAUACUAGCUAAGAAUAGGAUUUAGGAAAAAUCACACCAUCCUUUAAGCUUUCUAUUUCAUCAAUAUAGUUUGAUGACAUUACAGUUCAGUCUGCUCACAAGGCUAUUGUAAAUCUCACCCUUACAGGAAAAAAAAUGAUUUUAAAUGCAUGGUAUUGUUUCUAGUUGCAAAUCCAUUCCAGAAUCCUUUUCAUGCUAAGAUUCUUUUCAUUCUCAGAUUUAGGCUCUGAUAAUCAUGUAUUAAUUGUUAGGCAUAAAAAUAAAAUUAAUUGAUAUGAGUGUUAAUCUUGUUAAAGGUACAAAUAUUGCCCUUUUACCACACAUCUUCCAGAAAAACACCGUGUGUCUGCUUCAGCAAAGCAUCCUCUCACAAGACAGCUUCCAGAAAUACAUCACAUGACACAACUGAAUCUCCAGAGAAACCUGACAUUUCCACUUCAGCUUAACCAAAAGCACUCUAUUGAAUAGGAGUUGAAAGAGUGGAUACCUUUGUUUUCUUGUUGAAUUUAGAGGGACUUUUGUAUGUUUAUAUGUUUGUUACAUUUGCUUUUAGAUUGUCAUGUUUAACCUAAUUUUAUUUCUUUUCUUUAUGGUUUCAGUUUAAUGUUGUCCAUUUUGAUCAAAUGUUAAAAAUUUUCAGACAACUUCUGCCCCUAUUGGGAUAAUGAUGUGAUUUGUAUCCCUUAGUCCUUCUGAUUGCUUUUGACUUUAUUAGUUUCCAUGUAUUGAAUGUUCAUUCAAUAUUUUUCCCUGUGUGUUUAAGUUAGUAUUACAACUAUUUUAUGAAAAUUAUUCCCUCUAUAUUUAUUGGAGAAACUGCUGUGGUUUCUUUUUGUUUUCUGUGUUUAUUCUGUUCUUUUAUUCAUCUUGCUUUUAGGUGUCUGUAUAACUUUGGAUCUUCUGUCUGUUAAAAUCCUUCCUGAGAUAUGUGAGUUGGUGAUGUCACUACGUGUUAAAUAUACUGUUAGCUAUUCUUCAGUCUAGAGCCCUUAAUGAUUUUGUUUUUGGAUUAAUUUUUAUUCUGUGUAUUUGGUGUUUGAACUGUAUGUAUAUCUUUCACCCUGUGCCUACAAUGCCCACAGAGGCAAAAAGAAGACAUUGAAUCCUCAGUACUGGAUUGUCAGCUGAAUCAUAUGGCUUCUUGAUAUCAAGCCAGAGUCCUCUAGAAGAUCACUUGGUGCUCUUUACCAACUGAGUAAUCUCUCUAGCCCAGUUUCUAAAUACUAAAAUUGUUAUGUUACUAUUUUAAAAUGUUUCUGCAUUCUUUCAUUUUCUAAUAUCUCUUUCUUUGUACCAUCUUAUACUUAGUUUCCAGUUUUAAUGUCUUUAUUUACCUGUGGUGCUUUGAGUAGGAAUGGCCAACAUAGACUCAUUUAUUUAAAUGUUUGGCCCAUAGGUAAUCACAUUUUUAAGCGUUAUGGCCUUGUUGAGAUAGGUGUGGUCUUUUUGUAGAAAGUGUGUCAUUGUGGGGCAGGUUUUGAUGUCUUCUAUGCUCAAGCUAUGCCCAGUGACACAGGCCCUUUAUGCUGCCUGCUGAUUUAGAAGUAGAAAGUAGGUUUGUCCAGAACCAAGUUGACCUGUAUGCUACCAUGCUUCCCAUCAUAAUGCCAAUCAAUUAUAUCUCUGAAACUGUAAGCCAUGUUCAAUCAAAUAUUUUCUCUGUAACAGUUGCCUUGGUCAUGGUGUAUCUUCACAGCAAUGUAAACCCUAACUGCUUGAACUAAAACUAGCUACAUUUUUGUCUCAUAAAAUAAGCACAAUAUUUCUAAAGAAUGUAAAAAUGCCUUUUCUAUGACACUCAAAACUAAGCUGAAUAAGAGUGAACAUUCUUUUCUUGUUUUUGAUAUUAGAGAUUUAAUAAUUUUUCCUAAUCAUUAAUAAUAUUUGCUAUAUGAUUGUCCUAUGUACACUUUAUUAUGUGCCAUAUGUCCUCAGAGCCCUCAUUGUAAAGGAAUGGUGAUAUUUUCUGCAUAUAGCAUAUAGCACAUUCUACCUCUACUGAGAUAGUCAUGUUAUUUAAUUCUUUUAUUUUAUUGGCUAACUGCAUUGGAUUAGUAGUUCACAUAUUUUGAAUGAUCAUUUUAUCUCUGUAAUGUCAGCAAUUUAAUCAUGGUUGGUUGCACUUUUUGUGUACAUUAGUAAAAAAUAUAUGGCUUGUCACAUUUGUCUCCAAUAUUCCUUUAACUACACUUUAUCUGCUCUUGUUAGUACAUAUGACUUGCUGAAUCUUACCAGAAAGCUACAAAAUUCUGUCAGCUUUUACCAUUAAUCCCUAAGUAAUUCAUUUGGAUUUUUUUAAAAGAAAUUCUUUUACUUUUUUUCACUUAAUAUAGAUUUUUUUCAUAGAAUAUAUUCUGACUACUAAGUGCCUUCCCUUAACCCAUUGCAAAAUUCACCCAUGUUCCAUUCCAUUUGAAUCCACACCUUUUCUGUCUUACCAUAGAAACAAACAGGUAUGUAAGGAGUAA